rnacentral:rRNA from 1 species
GCGACCCCAGGUCAGGCGGGACUACCCGCUGAGUUUAAGCAUAUAAAUAAGCGGAGGAGAAGAAACUUACAGGAUUCCCUAGUACGCGAACGAACCCGGG